rnacentral:lncRNA from 1 species
AUGGAUUAUGGGUGGAAUGCCAUUUCCAAGAUCAGUGAAAAAGAAGCAAAUUCCUGGAGCUCGGUAUGUACUAUAUCUUGAUAGCAUUUGGUCUAGAUCAGGUAAACUCAUCUUUCUAUCUGCUUCAUAUUCUUUUUUCUUACUUCUUCCAUAUGUCCAAGAUAGCAUGAUAGUCAAGAAGAAAGCAGAAAUAGCAAAUGGCACCCAUCCUCCUUGUGGUAUUUUAUUGAGCAAAGAUGUCAUGAAACAACCUUCAAUUAUUAUGUAAGGCAAGAAAAAUGCCAGAAUAAGAAUGAUAUUUGUCUUCCAUAUGAUUAGCAUCACUAAUGCUGUCAAGAAUGUUGUUAUGAUCAUGACCCAGAUGACCACCACCCCUGUAGUUGAAAAAUAAAAGUUAGUUCUAUUUCUCAGCGAAGUACGCUUUAUUUGGACUGCCAGUUGUGGUUUAACUUAACAACAACAACAACAUACCUAGUGUGAUCGUACGCUAACUGUACCCUACCUUUGCGAGGUAGAGAGGUUGCUUACGAUAAGACCCCCUCGGCUCAAGAAAAGCGUUUUUCAAACAUUUUUAUACUAUUAGUUUUACUGGUUCCGAAACAUCCUCUCUACCUCCACGAGCUAGCGUAAGGUCUUUGUACACUCUAGCCUUCCUAGACCUCACCUAUGUGAUUACACUGGGUAUGUUGUUGUUGUUGAUGUAUUAAUUUUACUGAUUAUAACAGGCUGUUUACCAUUGUUACAGAUAAUCAACCCAUCCUUGCUUUAAAAAGUUGCAUAUAAUUGGUUAUUUUAAGUGUCUUGAUUGUAUUAGAUUUUUUUUUAAGUUGUCGGUGUACAAAAAGAAAUCUGAGUGAUGCUUACCGUAGGCAUUUGCUAGUUCAACACCUCCUUUGAAUCCAAGAACGAGAGUGACACAAAGAAUCAUGAGGAUGCAGUUUACCUCUGGGGAAUAGAUUUGUCCUUCAUGCUUGG